AUGAUCGGCUCCUUCCUCCCCCUCCCCACCACCACCACCUCCGGCCGCUGCCUUCCGCCCCGCGCCACCGCCACCACCACCCUCCCCUUCCCAACAGCCCCGCUCCGUAUCCGCCGCCGCCGGAUCCGCGUCUCCGUAUCGUCGUCGUCGGAGAGCAAGGAGGAGGGCGCGGCGAGCACCAACGGGUCGCUGCCGGGGCUUCCCCCCGUGGGGGAGGAGGAGGAGGAGGACGAGUCCUGCCCGGUGGAGUGCGUGACGGAGUUCAAGACGGACGAGGAGUUCAGCCGGUUCCUGGAGCGGUCGAGGGCGACGGGCGCGCUGGUGGUGGUGGACUUCUUCCGGCCGUCCUGCGGCAGCUGCAAGUACAUCGAGCAGGGCUUCAUGAAGCUCUGCAAGGGCUCCGGCGACCACGGCUCCCCCGUCAUCUUCCUCAAGCACAACGUGAUUGACGAGUACGACGAGCAGUCGGAGGUGGCGGACCGGCUGCGCAUCAAGGUGGUGCCGCUCUUCCAUUUCUACAAGGCCGGGGUCCUGGUGGAGUCCUUCGCCACCAGGGACAAGGACAGGAUCACCGCCGCCAUUGCCAAGUACACCCAACCUGAUGAGCAGGAGCCGGAGGAGUAA
rnacentral:rRNA from 1 species